rnacentral:lncRNA from 1 species
UUCAGCGAAAGAAAAGAAAAUAGACGAGUGUCGAGCAGCCCUCUUGUGCCGUGGAAGGCCUGCAGAGUGAGAAAGUCAACUAAGCCAAGUUCCUGCCUUCGUGGGUCCUCACUGAGCCCUCUUCACAGGCCAUACACAACCUCUGCUGGAGGUCGGGGCGCCAGGUCAGUCCCUGCUCUCCCAUCUACCAGAGCCUGCGAACAAGUCACAGGCAUACUGGCAAUGAUAUUAUUCCCAGGACUGCCAGUAAUGCCAGUUUACUGAGCAUCUCUAUGCCCAGAGCCAAGCUGACCCCUUUACAGCAGAGCUCAACACAGAGCCGGGGCCUGGUCACGUGCAGGCUGCGCUGGGGGCCCGAGGCUCCUGUUUCUAGUGAGGUGUCACACCUUCUCCUGCUGUCACGCCCCUUCCCCCUUCUCCUCCUCCUCAGCUGAGGGCCUGGGGUAUCACUUAGGGUUCUCCAGAAAAACAGAGCCAAUAGGAUGCAUGUGUGUGUGUGUGGAGAGAGAGAGACAGCAAGAUUUAAUUUAAGGGAUCGGCUCGUGCAGUUGUGGAGGCCGGCAAAGCCCCAGAGAAGAGCUGAUGCGGCAGCUCAGGACUGAAGGCAGCUUGCAGGCAGGCUCCUCCUUUUGGGGGGAGGGCAGCACAUCUGGAUUUGUGUUUGACCACACAUCUGGGCACCCUGGCCUAGCCAGGCUGACACAUCCGAUGAACCAGCAACCCUGCCGCUUUUUUUCCCAGUGUCAGCGCAUUCCGAAGAGCUCCACCUGGCCUUCCGCACGCCGCCCCAUUCCUCUCCCGUCACUGUCCCUUGGCCCUGCCCAGCCUCUCUCCUUUGAGCCACAAACUAUAAUUUCUCCAUCUUUAAGAUGGGACCCACGUCCCCUCGGUCACUCCAAUGCCACUUUUCUCCGCCCAGCUGUCUCCACUCCCUCAUUCCCUUCUCCCUCCAAACUGUGCUCCAGCCUGCAGCCUCACCCCUCUGCUGGGCCCAGAGGCCUUGCUGCCAAAUCCUACAGGCAGUGUUGUUGUCGCCUUAUUUCCUCAUCUAAUCUGACCUCAAGGCAGCACUGACCACCGCCAACCACCCCUCUUUCUUGAAAGGCCUGUCUGAGGUUCAGAGGCUGCUCCGCGCCUUCCUCCUUCCUCUCCUUCCUCCCCCUCCACAUCCCCCACCUUCCCAGUCUCCAGGGCUGGCUCUGCCCUGCCCGCCCUGCCCUGCCCUCUCCGAGGCUGCUUCUCUGCCAGCACUUGCACUGGUCCAUCCCAGGGUCUCAACUCCUGCUCUGGCUGUCACUCCAGAUUCCCCCCUCAACCUUAGCUUUCUCCCGAGGGUCAUCACUACUGGUUGUUUGCGCUUCUCAGACCCAUCAAGUCCAAAACCCACCAUCGUCUCCAACUCCUUCCCAGAAACGUUCUUCGGUCUCCUAGCGCCUCCAGUAGCCCAAUUUGGGCCAAACCAGAGCCGUUCCUCACUCCUCUAACACCAGGCAGCACAACACAGGGAAAUCUCUGCCACUGCCAGCCGGCUGCCUCCACUGGCCACCUGUGGAAACAUCUCCUGCCUGCAUUUCUGUGGCUGCUUCUAACCAGGCCUCUGCCUCUUUGCUCUCGCACCAGCCUGUCUGCACAGGGGUCACGUAAGUGAGCAUAAGUGAGGCCAUCUUGUGACGCUAAACGGCCCCAGCCCCUCCUCUGUGUGGCUACUCGCUGUUCUGCAUUUACUCUAAAAUAAGUCACAUGCUCUCCUGAUUUAUGGACUCCGCUUACGCAUGUGCCGUCCCGAUAGCUUGAUAAAUUAAAACUUUGUUGUAUGAGUUCCCCUCCAGGAACAGGCUGACCACAGGUGGGAAACACACCUGCAAGGCAUCCAUCACAGCUGAUGGAAGAGAACAGUGA